AAUCCCACAGGCAGCUGGAGCAGAAUCACCUGUACACGGCCUACACUGGCAUCAUGGCCAAGAGCUGUCACACGGGGGAAGGGGAGGAGGAAGAGAAGGAAGAAGAGGGGAAGGAAGAGGAAGAGGCCGAGGACUCGUUCAAGGAGAAGGAGAUGGAGAAGCAGAAGCUGCUGAACCUGCCCCUGUGACCCCCCCUGUGAUCCCUCAACCCCCAA